ACGCUGUCGGCGUGCUUAACACAUGCAAGUCGAACGGAAAGGCCCUGCUUUUGUGGGGUGCUCGAGUGGCGAACGGGUGAGUAACACGUGAGUAACCUGCCCUUGACUUUGGGAUAACUUCAGGAAACUGGGGCUAAUACCGGAUAGGAGCUCCUGCUGCAUGGUGGGGGUUGGAAAGUUUCGGCGGUUGGGGAUGGACUCGCGGCUUAUCAGCUUGUUGGUGGGGUAGUGGCUUACCAAGGCUUUGACGGGUAGCCGGCCUGAGAGGGUGACCGGCCACAUUGGGACUGAGAUACGGCCCAGACUCCUACGGGAGGCAGCAGUGGGGAAUAUUGCACAAUGGGCGGAAGCCUGAUGCAGCAACGCCGCGUGCGGGAUGACGGCCUUCGGGUUGUAAACCGCUUUCGCCUGUGACGAAGCGUGAGUGACGGUAAUGGGUAAAGAAGCACCGGCUAACUACGUGCCAGCAGCCGCGGUGAUACGUAGGGUGCGAGCGUUGUCCGGAUUUAUUGGGCGUAAAGGGCUCGUAGGUGGUUGAUCGCGUCGGAAGUGUAAUCUUGGGGCUUAACCCUGAGCGUGCUUUCGAUACGGGUUGACUUGAGGAAGGUAGGGGAGAAUGGAAUUCCUGGUGGAGCGGUGGAAUGCGCAGAUAUCAGGAGGAACACCAGUGGCGAAGGCGGUUCUCUGGGCCUUUCCUGACGCUGAGGAGCGAAAGCGUGGGGAGCGAACAGGCUUAGAUACCCUGGUAGUCCACGCUGUAAACGGUGGGUACUAGGUGUGGGGUCCAUUCCACGGGUUCCGUGCCGUAGCUAACGCUUUAAGUACCCCGCCUGGGGAGUACGGCCGCAAGGCUAAAACUCAAAGGACUUGACGGGGCCCCGCACAAGCGGCGGAGCAUGCGGAUUAAUUCGAUGCAACGCGUAGAACCUUACCUGGGUUUGACAUGGAUCGGGAGUGCUCAGAGAUGGGUGUGCCUCUUUUGGGGUCGGUUCACAGGUGGUGCAUGGCUGUCGUCAGCUCGUGUCGUGAGAUGUUGGGUUAAGUCCCGCAACGAGCGCAACCCUUGUUCACUGUUGCCAGCACGUUAUGGUGGGGACUCAGUGGAGACCGCCGGGGUCAACUCGGAGGAAGGUGGGGAUGACGUCAAGUCAUCAUGCCCCUUAUGUCCAGGGCUUCACGCAUGCUACAAUGGCUGGUACAGAGAGUGGCGAGCCUGUGAGGGUGAGCGAAUCUCGGAAAGCCGGUCUCAGUUCGGAUUGGGGUCUGCAACUCGACCUCAUGAAGUCGGAGUCGCUAGUAAUCGCAGAUCAGCAACGCUGCGGUGAAUACGUUCCCGGG
rnacentral:rRNA from 1 species